UAGGGAAUCUUCGGCAAUGGGGGGAACCCUGACCGAGCAACGCCGCGUGAGUGAAGAAGGUUUUCGGAUCGUAAAGCUCUGUUGUUAAGGAAGAACGAGUGUGAGAAUGGAAAGUUCAUACUGUGACGGUACUUAACCAGAAAGGGACGGCUAACUACGUGCCAGCAGCCGCGGUAAUACGUAGGUCCCGAGCGUUGUCCGGAUUUAUUGGGCGUAAAGCGAGCGCAGGCGGUAGAUAAGUCUGAAGUUAAAGGCAGUGGCUCAACCAUUGUAGGCUUUGGAAACUGUUUAACUUGAGUGCAGAAGGGGAGAGUGGAAUUCCAUGUGUAUCGGUGAAAUGCGUAGAUAUAUGGAGGAACACCGGUGGCGAAAGCGGCUCUCUGGUCUGUAACUGACGCUGAGGUUCGAAAGCGUGGGUAGCAAACAGG
rnacentral:rRNA from 1 species